rnacentral:rRNA from 1 species
UACGUAGGGGGCAAGCGUUGUCCGGAUUUAUUGGGCGUAAAGAGCGUGUAGGCGGCCUAGUGGUCAGUCGUUGAAUGAACUCGAGGCUCAACCUCGAGACGCGACGUGGAAACCAUGUGGCUAGAGUCCGGAAGAGGAGAGUGGAAUUCCUGGUGUAGCGGUGAAAUGCGCAGAUAUCAGGAGGAACACCAUGGCGGAAGGCAGCUCGCUGGACG